rnacentral:rRNA from 1 species
UACGGAGGAUGCAAGCGUUAUCCGGAUUCAUUGGGUUUAAAGGGUGUGUAGGCGGGACAAUAAGUCAGUGGUGAAAUCCUAUGGCUCAACCAUAGAACUGCCAUUGAUACUGUUGUUCUUGAAUGUAGUUGAGGUGGGCGGAAUGUGUAAUGUAGCGGUGAAAUGCUUAGAUAUUACACAGAACACCGAUUGCGAAGGCAGCUCACUAAACUAAUAUUGACGCUGAUGCACGAAAGCGUGGGGAU